CCUUCAUCAAUCAUCGAGCGGCUGGAGUUUGGGAAGUGCGAAAGUAAGUCAAGUCUCCGGAGCUUUUUAAAAGGGCCCACUGGGGGGAGCGCUGAGAGAGCAGAACACAAAGUGGAUUUCUGUUUGAAGAAUGUUUUAAUAAUAAUUGCUUCUCAGUAUUGUGAUUAUAUUAUUUUUGUUGAAUGGCUUUAACCUGUCACCCAAUGGCCAGCAGGAAAAAUCUAGACUGCAGAAAUCACUUUAGAGGACGGCAGUUUCAGCCAUUUAACAAAGUGAACCACAGAUCUUGUUGAUGAUAUAAUUGUGGCGCUGAUGGGCAAGAUUGGUAAACUCAAUUAAUUAUCUAAGCGACUGAUUGGUGCCUCAAGACCCAUGAUUUGGAUGAGCAGCCACUCACAAGUAUGUUGAUUGUCGACUGGAGCUCCUCAGAAAAUGAAGCAGAACCAGCUGUAUGCAGCAAAAUCAAACACCGUUCAGACUUAAUAAGUGAGGUGCAUGAGGAGAAUUAGAGGUGAAGAGGGUUAGCAACUUUAAAUUCCCUGGCAUUACCAUUUCACAAGACAUGUCCUGGACCCAAUAUGUAUUGCAAUUAUGAAGAAAGCAUGGCAGCACCUCUACUUUCGUAGGAUUUUGGGAACAUUGGCACUUCCCAAUUCUCCUCAAGUUCCAUACUUCUCCAAACUGGGAACCUAGAGCAAGUCUUUAACUCUCUGUGGAUCUUCAUCCUAGAAAUGCUCUUCAGCAACAGUGCUUCACCAGAAGGAUUGCUGCAGUAAAACAGAAAAAAUGGCUAAUCCCUGCAGAGAACAUCAUCUGAAACAAAUGUAACAUAAUGUGCAGCUCAAAUGUAGCCGGAUGAAACCCUCCAUUAUCUAAUGAAGGAAGGAGUGAAUGAAGCGCACACUUGCUGAGAAGUGUAUCUGCAAUACGAAUCUUCUUAAAAAGCAAACACCCCCCAUGCAGCUUUUUUUUUGUGUACUUUAAUAAAAUCUAAAGUACAAAAUCACUACACUUCGCUGGUCAAAAUGAAAUGUAUUAAGACCCUUUUGCUUGACUGGUGUUUGAUAGAUGCUGAUCAUCUUUGUGCUUCAAAAGUCUGAAAAUCUCACACCACCAGGUUCAGGAGCAGUUACCAUCCCUCAACCAUCAGACUUGUAAAGCACUCUACCUCACUCGCCCAUUGCUGAAGAUUUCCGUCACUCUAUGGACUUUUCAUCUCAUGAUCUUGAUAGUUAUUGCAUAUUUAUUAUUGUUAUUUACUUAUUUUUGUAUUUGCACAGUUUGUUGCAUUUUUGUUAUUCCAUUAUGGACAUUGAGUAUGCCCACAAGAAAAUGAAUCGCAGGGUGGUACCUGGUGACAUAUAUGUCCCCUGAUAGUAAAUUUACUUUGAACUUUUAACGUUGAAUCAGUAAGGUGGAAAACCUCUUACUCAAUGUCAACAAGACCAAGGAGCUGAUUAUUGAUUUCAAGAGAAGAAACCAGUGGUCCAUGAGCCAGUCCUCAUUGGAGGAUCAGAGGUGGAGAGGGUGAGCAACUUUAAAUUCCUCAGUGUUGUUAUUUUGGAGGACCUGCCCUGGGCCCGGCACGUAAGUGCAAUUACAAAGGAAGCACAGCAAUGCCUCUACUUCCUUACAAGUUUGAGGAGAUUUGGCAUGACAUCUAAAACUUUGACAAACUUCUCUAGAUUUGUAGUGGAGAGUAUAUUGACUGGCUGCAUCACAGCCUGGUAUGGAAACACCAAUGCCCUUGAAUAGAAAAUCCUAUAAAAAGUAAUGGAUAUGGCCCUAUACAUCAUCGGUAAAGCC